CAUUGUUGUAGUACUACCUACGCAGCCUUUGCACAAAUAAUUCAAAAUUGUCAUAUGCACACUGCAGCCUUUGUGUCGUACAGCGGGACAACUCCUUCAACUCAUCACCAGCCUGUUUGCUUUUUAAAUCCCUUCAGUUGCAGCAGAAUAAUCUGACUUUCUUUAAAAAUGCACGGACAAACAAAGCAGUUUGUUAAAUUGAGGUGGCCGAUGCGGGCGGGUCUCUUUCACAUGAUUUUUCCUUUCUGUCAUUCACCAUAUAAAGGUUUUGUCAAACUUGGAGGUUGAGUUAAAUCUGGGCAACAUCACAGGUCAAGGUGGCGACAGACAUAAAAUCCAGAGACGUUUUAUGUGACAGAGGUUAAAAAUGCUUCUGAUCAUUCUGAUACAACUCCUGAUCAUUGCAUCAGAAAAUGCCCAGGCGGCCUCAACUGCAGCACCGUCAACAGAAACCGC